GCUCGACCUGGUUGACGCUGGGCACGACCUCGCUUGCCUUCAGCAAGCGCUCGAGAUGCGGGAUCUUGAAGUUGGAAACGCCAAUCGAGCG
rnacentral:tRNA from 1 species